rnacentral:rRNA from 1 species
AUGAUGAUGAAAUCUUGCCGAGAUCUGAGGAUGAAGAGAAGAUAUGGGUUAACUUUCAGAGUGAUUGAGUUGGUCAAAAAAUAUGAAGCACAUCAAAGGGGGCUUGUUGCUUGGCUGCUAUGGAGAAGGGUAUUCUUUGAAGGAGUUGUAGACCUUUUGGAUAUGCUUCAAUUUGGACACUUUUUCAGUAUGUAUAUGAUAUGGGCAGACCCAGUGCAUAGAAGCUCCCACACAAGGUGGGGUCUGGGGAGGGAUUAUAGGAACCUAGUCUUACCCCUGCAAAGUGCAAUGCAGAGAGGCUGGUUCGAACCCAGGACCUCUUGGCACAAGUGGGGAGGACUUCACCACUGCGCCAGGCCUGCCCUCAAACAUGAUAUCUACGUAUCUGAGAAUUUUUAUUUGUGGGAAAUGAAAAACUUAAUGUGGCUGGAGUUCUACGCGGAUUAA